rnacentral:rRNA from 1 species
AAUCAACGCUGGCGGCGUGCCUAACACAUGCAAGUCGAGCGGGAAAGGGGGCUUCGGCCCCUGAGUAUAGCGGCGGACGGGUGAGUAACACGUGGGUAAUUUGCCCUUGGGUGUGGAAUAACUCAGGGAAACUUGAGCUAAUACCGCAUGACAUCCCCUUCACACACGAGUCGGGGAUCAAAGCCGGGGACCCUUCGGGGCCUGGCGCCUGAGGAGAAGCCCGCGCCCGAUUAGCUAGUUGGGA